CCAAAAGAAAACUGUUUCCCCUCCACCAUCCCUUGGAGCGAUCACGUCCUCACUUAGAAAACUCUUGUCCGAGUUUGAGUCUCGGGUCCUAGGCUUCCUAAAUCUGACUAUUUUGUACACCUUUGUAAUGUGCAGGAACGGAAUCUAGUGAUUUUUAAGACUAUACACUUCCGAAGAGGUGGGUGUGGGAGCUGGGCCAUCAUCGUAUGCAUUUCUCGGUCUGGAUUCUGAGAUCAUUUUGAGUACUUAGAAAACUUGCAGACCGAUUGAAAUGUAGCUUUCUUCUUCAAACAGACGUCUCCAGUGUAGCCCAGGCUAGCCUUGAACUGGCGAUCUUCCUGAGAUUAUAUGGGUCUGUACACCACCGUGUCAUGUUUAUGUAGCUUAUUGAACUCAGAAUUAGCCAUUUCUGGGCUAGUACGAGUAGUGACAUAAGGAAAAUAAAGCAAACAUCAAAGACAGAUGUACUGGCACAAGAUAAAAAAGUCCCUCAACUGACAAAGUUACCAUUUUAAGACUUCUAAGUUUAGCUGAGUGCCUGAUUUAUUUUAUUUAUUUUUUAAUUUUUUUUUUUUUUUGCAUUUUCUUUUUAGUACUGGCAUACCAUAUGAAAUGUGGGCAGUUGCCAGUACACUACGGAGUACCACAGACGAAUUGGUGAUGACUAAAUCAAUUCAUUGAGGCAAAACUUCAUGUGUCUACUGUGUGUGUUAUCUCUGAAAUCAGAGUCUGUGUUUCCAGGGGCUUCUCUGUGUGUAAUAGUAAAUAUACAAAAUGCUAAACAUCUGCCUAAAGCUGAGUUCCAGUAUACAACAUAAUACAGAACACUAUUGUGUAUCUGAUAGCCAUGGAUUUGGACUGUAUGGUUUCAGCGGGAUCUUGUCCAUUUUCUGUAUUCUUCAGCACCUUUGUCUCACUUUCCACCUCCAUACCUUUUGCAAUCUUUGAGUGCCAGCCCCGUUUUAUUAUACGACUGACUAACAGUUUCACAAGAAGACUGAGGCCAUUGACUGCAAAUUCCUUCAAUUUUCCAAAUGCUAGAGAUGGGCUGAUCUUUUCUCAGUAUGGAGAGAAUGACAGAACUCCUUGCCCUCAUGCAAGGUCAGUCAACUCUCCAACUAUAUUCUGGUUUCAGUGUCUCUCUUUGGCCUGUUUUUUGUUUUUCUGAUUUCAGUCCUUCACAAAGUUUGGCUCCCUUUUGUAACUUACUCAGGUUCAUUCCUUCAUAGUUGUACAUUAUGUAUGAAAUGCAACUUCGUUAUUUGGAAAAAGUUCUUGCUUUGCUGUAUAGAAAUGAAAGAUAAUCUUUGGGGGUUUGUCAGGUAAAUCCAAACUAUUAGGAUAGUCAAGUCCCCUGGAAUGAUUUGUAUCUAUUUUUGAAUAUAUUUUACUUAGUAAAUUUUUACAUAUUUUCUCCCUUUGUCAGCCUUGUAGCCAAAACUGGCUGGCCAUGUAUUAGGCACACCAAUAAACUAAACCUCAUGUGUUUUCAAAAAAAAAAAAAAA
rnacentral:lncRNA from 1 species